rnacentral:rRNA from 1 species
UACGGGGGGGGCAAGCGUUGUUCGGAAUUACUGGGCGUAAAGGGCUCGUAGGCGGCCAACUAAGUCAUACGUGAAAUCCCUCGGCUUAACCGGGGAACUGCGUCUGAUACUGGAUGGCUUGAGUUCGGGAGAGGGAUGCGGAAUUCCAGGUGUAGCGGUGAAAUGCGUAGAUAUCAGGAAGAACACCCGUGGCGAAGGCGGCUCUCUGGGACGGUACUGACGCUGAGACGCGAAAGCGUGGGGAGCAAACAGG